rnacentral:rRNA from 1 species
UACAGAGGGUGCAAGCGUUGUUCGGAAUUACUGGGCGUAAAGCGCGCGCAGGCGGAUCCUGUAAGUCUGGAGUGAAAUCUCACCGCUCAACGGUGAGGCUGCUUUGGAUACUGCGGAUCUGGAGACCGGUAGAGGCUGGUAGAAUUGCAGGUGUAGCGGUGGAAUGCGUAGAGAUCUGCAAGAAUACCCGUGGCGAAGGCGGCCAGCUGGGCCGGUUCUGACGCUGAGGCGCGAAAGCUAGGGGAGCAAACGGG